rnacentral:rRNA from 1 species
AUUGAACGCUGGCGGCGGGCCUAACACAUGCAAGUCGAGCGAGUGGCGGACGGGUGAGUAAUGCAUCGGAACCUGCCCGGUAGAGGGGGAUAACUGCUGGAAACGUCGGCUAAUACCGCAUACUAUUGGAUGGGCCGAUGUCGGAUUAGCUAGUUGGCGGGGUAAAGGCCCACCAAGGCGACGAUCAGUAGCUGGUCUGAGAGGAUGAUCAGCCACACUGGGACUGAGACACGGCCCAGACUCCUACGGGAGGCAGCAGUGGGGAAUAUUGGACAAUGGGCGCAAGCCUGAUCCAGCCAUGCCGCGUGUCUGAAGAAGGCCUUCGGGUUGUAAAGUACUUUUGUCGGGGAAGCGGUACCCGAAGAAUAAGCACCGGCUAACUCCGUGCCAGCAGCCGCGGUAAUUC